rnacentral:rRNA from 1 species
UACGUAGGGACCAAGCGUUGUUCGGAUUUACUGGGCGUAAAGGGCUCGUAGGCGGCCAACUAAGUCGGAUGUGAAAUCCCCAAGCUUAACUUGGGAACUGCAUCCGAUACUGGAUGGCUUGAAUCCGGGAGAGGGAUGCAGAAUUCCAGGUGUAGCGGUGAAAUGCGUAGAUAUCUGGAGGAAUACCGGUGGCGAAGGCGGCAUCCUGGACCGGCAUUGACGCUGAGGAGCGAAAGCGUGGGUAGCGAACAGG